GAUUACGUCCCUGCCCUUUGUACACACCGCCCGUCGCUACUACCGAUUGAAUGGCUUAGUGAGGCCUCUGGAUCGGCUCCGACUAGCUGGCAACGGCCGGUCGCUGUCGAGAAGUUGGUCAAACUUGGUCAUUUAGAGGAAGUAAAAGUCGUAACAAGG
rnacentral:rRNA from 1 species